AUGUGGCCCGGACCAAAAUGGUCUCAGGUGGCAGCGCCACAACCGUCUCCAGCAACGGCUAGAAUGAGAAAAAACGACGCUGACAAAGAAAAGAAGGCACAAGAAGGCAGUGACAGCUUCUCACCCUGCAAAUAUGGAAUAAGUAAGAGAGACCUGCGGCUUCGAAUCCUUGGUCCAGAGGAGACGCAGAGCCCGUCAUGGUUCCUGGAGUUACUCGGGGAGGAGGACGACCGCGGUGGCGUCGCAACGGCAGCUGACGAAACAGAGGAAGGCGGCCUCGGUCCAAAAGUUUGUUGCAUGCUCGGUGUCCAGGAAUCGAACCAGAACGACAGCCGGAGCUGA
rnacentral:rRNA from 1 species